AGCUCCAAUAGCGUAUAUUAAAGUUGUUGCGGUUAAAAGCUCGUAGUUGGAUUUCUGCAUUGAAGGAGCGGUCCACCCUUUGGGCGAGUUACUGCUACCUUUAGUGCAUCUUUCUGGGGACGUGUUCUUCACUUAAUUGUGAGGGCGCAGGACUCAGGACUUUUACUUUGAGGAAAUGAGAGUGUUUCAAGCAGGCAAAUGCCUUGAAUACGUUAGCAUGGAAUAAUAGCAUCGGACCAUCGUCCAGCUGUUGGUGUCUGGGCGAAGGUAAAGGUGAAUAGGGAUUGUUGGGGGCAUUCGUAUUUAACUGUCAGAGGUGAAAUUCUUGGAUUUGUUGAAGACGGACCACUGCGAAAGCAUCUGCCAAAGAUGUUCUCA
rnacentral:rRNA from 1 species